UAAGCAUAUCAAUAAGCGGAGGAAAAGAAACCAACAGGGAUUGCCUCAGUAACGGCGAGUGAAGCGGCAACAGCUCAAAUUUGAAAUCUGGCCCCCUCGGGGCCCGAGUUGUAAUUUGCAGAGGAUGCUUCGGGGUCGGCACCGGUCUAAGUUCCUUGGAACAGGACGUCACAGAGGGUGAGAAUCCCGUACGUGGCCGGCCGCCGUCCCCAUGCGAAGCUCCUUCGACGAGUCGAGUUGUUUGGGAAUGCAGCUCUAAAUGGGAGGUAAAUUUCUUCUAAAGCUAAAUACCGGCCAGAGACCGAUAGCGCACAAGUAGAGUGAUCGAAAGAUGAAAAGCACUUUGGAAAGAGAGUUAAAAAGUACGUGAAAUUGUUGAAAGGGAAGCGCUUGCAACCAGACUUGCUCGCAGUUGCUCAACCGGCCUUCUGGCUCGGUGCACUCUUCUGCGAGCAGGCCAGCAUCAGUUCGGGCGGUCGGACAAAAGCCCGGGGAAUGUGGCUCCCUCCGGGGAGUGUUAUAGCCCCGGGCAUAAUGCGGCCCGCCCGGACUGAGGACCGCGCUUCGGCUAGGAUGCUGGCGUAAUGGUUGUAAGCGGCCCGUCUUGAAACACGGACCAAGGAGUCUAACAUCUAUGCGAGUGUUUGGGUGUCAAACCCAUGCGCGUAAUGAAAGUGAACGGAGGUGGGAACCCUUCGGGGUGCACCAUCGACCGAUCCUGAUGUCUUCGGAAGGAUUUGAGUAAGAGCAUAGCUGUUGGGACCCGAAAGAUGGUGAACUAUGCCUGAAUAGGGUGAAGCCAGAGGAAACUCUGGUGGAGGCUCGCAGCGGUUCUGACGUGCAAAUCGAUCGUCAAAUUUGGGUAUAGGGGCGAAAGACUAAUCG
rnacentral:rRNA from 1 species